rnacentral:rRNA from 1 species
AUUGAACGCUGGCGGCAUGCCUUACACAUGCCAGUCGAACGGCAGCACGGGUGCUUGCACCUGGUGGCGAGUGGCGAACGGGUGAGUAAUACAUCGGAACAUGUCCUGUAGUGGGGGAUAGCCCGCCGAAAGCCGGAUUAAUACCGCAUAAGAUCUACGGAUGAAAGCGGGGGGCCUUCGGGCCUCGCGCGAUUGGGUUGGCCGAUGGCUGAUUAGCUAGUUGGUGGGGUAAAGGCCUACCAAGGCGACGAUCAGUAGCUGGUCUGAGAGGACGACCAGCCACACUGGGACUGAGACACGGCCCAGACUCCUACGGGAGGCAGCAGUGGGGAAUUUUGGACAAUGGGCGAAAGCCUGAUCCAGCAAUGCCGCGUGUGUGAAGAAGGCCUUCGGGUUGUAAAGCACUUUUGUCCGGAAAGAAAUCCUUGGCCCUAAUACGGUCGGGGGAUGACGGUACCGGAAGAAUAAGCACCGGCUAACUACGUG